rnacentral:rRNA from 1 species
GACAGAGGGUGCAAACGUUGUUCGGAAUUACUGGGCGUAAAGCGUGCGCAGGCGGUUCGUUGUGUCGGCGGUGAAAGCCCCGGGCUUAACCUGGGAAUGGCCGUUGAAACUGGCGAACUGGAGUGUGGCAGAGGGGGGUGGAAUUCCGCGUGUAGCAGUGAAAUGCGUAGAGAUGCGGAGGAACACCGAUGGCGAAGGCAGCCCCCUGGGCUAACACUGACGCUCAGGCACGAAAGCGUGGGGAGCAAACAGG